UUCAUAAUGAUGUUCAAAGUAACUUGGAUGAAAGUGUCCCAAAAUGCUUUAGGGUUGAUUACGGACGUCCUUCCACCAGAGGUGUUCUUCGGUUCUUGGAUGAGGCUGAACUUAUACGAGCACACUUGUAUGUGUUAGCUAAUAUUGGAAUUUUAGAGCACUACGAGAGGGGUUUUGAGGAGUACAUUCUACAUACUUGACCCACAAUGCGUAAAUAUGAUGUGUGGGUUCAUCAUGAAGUUGAGUUCCUCGAAUGGUUUAGGAUGAAAGUGAUUCAAGAUAAGCCGGAUGAUGACGUAUUGUUUGCUUUAGCAAUGGGUCCAUCAAAACGAGUGCGCACUUGGAACCAGUACUAUGUUAACGGAUACAAAUUCCAGACUCAUGCACAUGGAAUGCAUAAAUCAACCCAGAAUUAUGAUGUUUGGGUGUCAAAUGAGGAAGGUGGAGAUUUUUUUUUGUAUCUUACAGGAUGUCAUUGAGCUUGAGUUCACUAGUGUGACCACAGUUUAUAAAAGUGUUUUGUCCAAGUGCAAUUGGAUGGACCCGACAAGGGGCAUGAAUGUUGAUCAUUACAAACUAUUAGAAGUCAAUCACACAAAGAAAUACCCCAAGUACGAUCCUUUUGUGCUAUCAUACUAGGCAAAGCAGGUGUACUUUGCGCCGUACCCUAGUUUGAAAAAAGAUCGUGCUCAAUGGUGCGCUGUGCUUAAGACUAAGGCAAGGUCUACUGUUGAUGCUCCAGUAGAUGACGAGGUUUUACAAGAAACACAUGUUGAGGCACCAACCUUGAGUGCUCCGGAUGAUAUUCCUGGGUACGAGGACGGCGAUGAUUCUGAUGAAGAAGAUAUCCCAUACAUUGAACCCCCUUUGGAGGAGUCAAACUUUGAGGACUCAACCGAUAGUAAUGAUGCUGAAGACGCUAUUUUUUGGGAUGAUGAUACUGAUGAGGACGAUUAUAGUGAUGAAGGGGAUGCAUGAGAACCUCUAGAGUUUGUGUAAUCGGAUAGUUUUAUAUGUAAUAAUUUUCUACGGUUUUCUAUCCUAAUUUUUCUGUUUUAUUUAUCAGAAUUGAAUCUCCUGCUUUUUGCUUCAUGACAUUAUUGCUAACAUGAUAUCAAUUUCGAUUUUAGGCAAGAAUUAGAUGGUAUAUAUUCUUAUUCUAGGGUUCAUGUAGUAUCAAUUUUUGCGUUUUUGGUUUGAAUUUUUUACUUGCGUGUUCAAUUGCAAUUUUAUUUUUCUCUUUUGUUGAUUUCUGCUGCAUUUGAUAGUUUAUAUUGCUAUAAUUGCUGGUUAUUUUGUGUUUUCCCACCUAAAUUGCUGCUGUUGCCAUUGCUUCUUGAAGGGGUUGUUGGAGUUUCUGAUUUUUUACUAAAGGGUCCAAGACGUCAGCUUUGUUAUAUGCCCAAUGAAUUUUAGAACUAGAAUUCACUAGGGGGUUUAAAAAUUUGGGAAAUAAAUCUGAAAUUUUGGCUAAUUUUAGUAAAAAUUUGGGGGUUGGAUCCCCAAAUGUAAAUUUCUAAUGCUGAGGAUCACCAAUAUAAAUUUCUGAUGCU